GACGAACGCUGGCGGCGUGCUUAACACAUGCAAGUCGAACGGAAAGGCCCUGCUUUUGUGGGGUGCUCGAGUGGCGAACGGGUGAGUAACACGUGAGUAACCUGCCCUUGACUUUGGGAUAACUUCAGGAAACUGGGGCUAAUACCGGAUAGGAGCUCCUGCUGCAUGGUGGGGGUUGGAAAGUUUCGGCGGUUGGGGAUGGACUCGCGGCUUAUCAGCUUGUUGGUGGGGUAGUGGCUUACCAAGGCCUUGACGGGUAGCCGGCCUGAGAGGGUGACCGGCCACAUUGGGACUGAGAUACGGCGCAGACUCCUACGGGAGGCAGCAGUGGGGAAUAUUGCACAAUGAGCGGAAGCCUGAUGCAGCAACGCCGCGGGCGGGAUGACGGCCUUCGGGUUGUAAACCGCUUUCGCCUGUGACGAAGCGUGAGUGACGGUAAUGGGUAAAGAAGCACCGGCUAACUACGUG
rnacentral:rRNA from 1 species